GACGAACGCUGGCGGCGUGCUUAACACAUGCAAGUCGAACGGAAAGGCCCUGCUUUUGUGGGGUGCUCGAGUGGCGAACGGGUGAGUAACACGUGAGUAACCUGCCCUUGACUUUGGGAUAACUUCAGGAAACUGGGGCUAAUACCGGAUAGGAGCUCCUGCUGCAUGGUGGGGGUUGGAAAGUUUCGGCGGUUGGGGCUGGACUCGCGGCUUAUCAGCUUGUUGGUGGGGUAGGGGCUUACCAAGGCUUUGACGGGUAGCCGGCCUGAGAGGGUGACCGGCCACAUUGGGACUGAGAUACGGCCCAGACUCCUACGGGAGGCAGCAGUGGGGAAUAUUGCACAAUGGGCGGAAGCCUGAUGCAGCAACGCCGCGUGCGGGAUGACGGCCUUCGGGUUGUAAACCGCUUUCGCCUGUGACGAAGCGUGAGUGACGGUAAUGGGUAAAGAAGCACCGGCUAACUACGUG
rnacentral:rRNA from 1 species